CAAACUAAAUAAAUGCUUAGUAAACCUGUUAACUAAAUUUCCAAAGAAAAUGUACACCACAACUGGACAAACACGACAUUUGCUCAGACUUCAGGAAACAGAUAAUCCCCAGGAAGAUCUGGAGCAAAAAUCAAUUACUUAAUUUGAUUUCAUAUUCAGGAAGAAGAGUUAGAUCCAUGGAACCUUAUACAUUAGGACCAUAGGAAAAUCUGUGUGGGAAGAGAUGUGAGGAGG